rnacentral:rRNA from 1 species
GUUGGAUUAGCUAGUUGGUGAGGUAACGGCCCACCAAGGCGACGAUCCAUAGCCGACCUGAGAGGGUGACCGGCCACAUUGGGACUGAGACACGGCCCAAACUCCUACGGGAGGCAGCAGUGGGGAAUAUUGCACAAUGGGCGAAAGCCUGAUGCAGCGACGCCGCGUGAGCGAAGAAGUAUUUCGGUAUGUAAAGCUCUAUCAGCAGGGAAGAUAAUGACGGUACCUGACUAAGAAGCACCGGCUAAAUACGUGCCAGCAGCCGCGGUAAUACGUAUGGUGCAAGCGUUAUCCGGAUUUACUGGGUGUAAAGGGAGCGCAGGCGGUGCGGCAAGUCUGAUGUGAAAGCCCGGGGCUCAACCCCGGUACUGCAUUGGAAACUGUCGUACUAGAGUGUCGGAGGGGUAAGCGGAAUUCCUAGUGUAGCGGUGAAAUGCGUAGAUAUUAGGAGGAACACCAGUGGCGAAGGCGGCUUACUGGACGAUAACUGACGCUGAGGCUCGAAAGCGUGGGG